rnacentral:rRNA from 1 species
CAUUAGGUAUGCUUAGGGAGGAGCUUGCGUCACAUUAGUUAGUUGGUGGGGUAAAGGCCUACCAAGACUAUGAUGUGUAGCCGGGCUGAGAGGUUGAACGGCCACAUUGGGACUGAGACACGGCCCAAACUCCUACGGGAGGCAGCAGUAGGGAAUUUUCGGCAAUGGAGGAAACUCUGACCGAGCAACGCCGCGUGAACGAUGAAGUAUUUCGGUACGUAAAGUUCUUUUAUUAGGGAAGAAUAAAUGAUGGAAAAAUCAUUCUGACGGUACCUAAUGAAUAAGCCCCGGCUAACUAUGUGCCAGCAGCCGCGGUAAUACAUAGGGGGCAAGCGUUAUCCGGAAUUAUUGGGCGUAAAGGGUGCGUAGGCGGUUAAAUAAGUUUAUGGUCUAAGUGCAAUGCUUAACAUUGUGAUGCUAUAAAAACUGUUUAACUAGAGUAAGAUAGAGGCAAGUGGAAUUCCAUGUGUAGUGGUAAAAUGCGUAAAUAUAUGGAGGAACACCAGUAGCGAAGGCGGCUUGCUGGGUCUUUACUGACGCUGAGGCACGAAAGCGUGGGGAGCAAACAGGAUUAGAUACCCUGGUAGUCCACGCCGUAAACGAUGAGUACUAAAUGUUGGGUAAAACCAGUGUUGAAGUUAACACAUUAAGUACUCCGCCUGAGUAGUACGUACGCAAGUAUGAAACUUAAAGGAAUUGACGGGACUCCGCACAAGCGGUGGAUCAUGUUGUUUAAUUCGAAGGUACCCGAAAAACCUCACCAGGUCUUGACAUGCUUCUGCAAAGCUGUAGAAACACAGUGGAGGUUAUCAGUUGCACAGGUGGUGCAUGGUUGUCGUCAGCUCGUGUCGUGAGAUGUUGGGUUAAGUCCCGCAACGAGCGCAACCCUUAUUGUUAGUUGCCAGCACGUAAUGGUGGGGACUUUAGCAAGACUGCCAGUGAUAAAUUGGAGGAAGGUGGGGACGACGUCAAAUCAUCAUGCCCCUUAUGACCUGGGCUACAAACGUGAUACAAUGGCUGUUACAAAGGGUAGCUGAAACGUAAGUUUUUGGCGAAUCUCAAAAAAACAGUCUCAGUUCGGAUUGAAGUCUGCAACUCGACUUCAUGAAGU